CAGCAUCAUCAAAGCUUGCUUUGAUGGAUGGCGACCGGCGCACGGGUGAGUAACACGUAUCCAACCUGCCGAUAACUCGGGGAUAGUCUUUCGAAAGAAAGAUUAAUACCCGAUGGCAUAGUUCUUCCGCAUGGUGGAACUAUUAAAGAAUUUCGGUCAUCGAUGGGGAUGCGUUCCAUUAGGCAGUUGGUGGGGUAAUGGCCCACCAAACCUUCGAUGGAUAGGGGUUCUGAGAGGAAGGUCCCCACAUUGGAACUGAGACACGGUCCAAACUCC
rnacentral:rRNA from 1 species